rnacentral:rRNA from 1 species
UACGGAGGGUGCAAGCGUUGUCCGGAUUUAUUGGGUUUAAAGGGUGCGUAGGCGGCCCGGUAAGUCAGUGGUGAAAGCCUCCAGCUCAACUGGAGAACUGCCAUUGAUACUGCCGGGCUUGAGUACAGACGAGGUUGGCGGAAUAUGUCAUGUAGCGGUGAAAUGCUUAGAUAUGACAUAGAACACCAAUUGCGAAGGCAGCCGCUACGCGGUUAUUGACACUGAGGCACGGAAAGCGUGGGGAUCAAACAGG